UUAGGAAUAUUCGUCAAUGGGGGAAACCCUGAACGAGCAAUGCCGCGUGAGUGAUGACGGUCUUUAUGAUUGUAAAACUCUGUUGUUAGGGAAGAAACCUUAUCAUAGGAAAUGAUGAUAAGCUGACGGUACCUUUCCAGAAAGCCCCGGCUAACUACGUGCCAGCAGCCGCGGUAAUACGUAGGGGGCGAGCGUUAUCCGGAUUUAUUGGGCGUAAAGCGUGUGUAGGCGGUUUAUUAAGUAUAAGAUAAAAGCCUGAGGCUCAACCUCAGUUCGUCUUAUAAACUGGUAGACUUGAGUGUGGUAGAGGCAAGUGGAAUUUCUAGUGUAGCGGUUAAAUGCGUAGAUAUUAGAAGGAACACCAGUGGCGAAGGCGGCUUGCUGGGCCAUUACUGACGCUGAGACACGAAAGCGUGGGGAGCAAAUAGG
rnacentral:rRNA from 1 species